GAUUAAACUCUUGCCUACUUUGUUUUGCAGGGAUCGCUCAGGAUUCCAAAUAAAUUGACUUAAGGAGAGAAGAGGAGCUUCACCUAACAUUGGCUGUUAAUACUUCACCUUUUGGGUCCUUUCUUUGGCAGGGAGGGUUGGUAAAAUGAAUGACAAAUGUUGUUUUGUAAGAUAAGCCUGGAAGUUUGGAAGCUUGGGCAUAUUUGACCCGUUUUUUUCAAACUGCCGUUAAUACUAAAUUUGGGGAACAAGUUUAAUGUUUUAUAGGACAGGUGCCCAGUAAAAUUUGACUAAUAGCGGACAGGACUGAAUGUGGCCAUAUCUAUUAAAACAGUCUGGUCCUUUA